rnacentral:rRNA from 1 species
CAGCCGCCGCGGGAAUACGUAGGGUGCGAGCGUUAACCGGAAUUACUGGGCGUAAAGCGUGCGCAGGCGGUUUUGUAAGACAGGCGUGAAAUCCCCGGGCUCAACCUGGGAAUGGCGCUUGUGACUGCAAAGCUAGAGUGCGGCAGAGGGGGAUGGAAUUCCGCGUGUAGCAGUGAAAUGCGUAGAUAUGCGGAGGAACACCGAUAGCGAAGGCAAUCCCCUGGGCCUGCACUGACGCUCAUGCACGAAAGCGUGGGGAGCAAACAGGAUUAGAUACCCCCGUAGUCCCUGUCUCUUAUAC